rnacentral:rRNA from 1 species
CCCUUAGAUGUCCUGGGCCGCACGCGCGUUACACUGAUGCAUUCAACGAGCUUAUAGCCUUGGCCGAGAGGCCUGGGCAAUCUUGUUAACGUGCAUCGUGAUAGGGAUAGAUUAUUGAAAUUAUUAAUCUUGAACGAGGAAUUCCUAGUAAACGCAGAUCAUCAAUCUGCAUUGAUUACGUCCCUGCCCUUUGUACACACCGCCCGUCGCACCUACCGAUUGGAUGGUCCGGUGAAGCCUCGGGAUUGUGGUUCUUGCCGCUUUAUUGUGGCGUGACCGCGAGAACUUGUCUAAACCUUAUCAUCUAGAGGAAGGUGAAGUCGUAACA